GAGGGUAUAGCUCAGUGGUAGAGCACAUGCUUAGCAUGCAUCAAGGUCCUGGGUUCAAUCCCCAGUACUUCCU
rnacentral:tRNA from 1 species